GUCAACCAGAGAUUGCUAAUGGUGUCGCCUGCUUGUUCGCGGCGCCCCCAGCGGUGCGAAUCAACAACGGAGGAGGCCAUGGAAGAGAGGAAGGAGGCAUGGAUAUGUUGUGCCAAGUAGAUGCAGUCAGCGAUAGAGCGCUAGCUGUAGUCGACGACUGAGCCGGACAGGUGGAUCCCCUCCCCUGUCUCGGUAUCUCUCAACUUGGGACUUCUCCACCGUGGAUAGCGGCCAAGUUUCUUCUAUGUGUUGGUGAUAUUAGUCAUGUCCUCGAUGCUUGGAAGAUAUAUAGCGAUCUGUGGGGGUAGCAGCCAGAUUUCUGCGAGCUAGGCUUUGGAUGUCCAGGAGUUUCUUACACCCCAGCAUUAGUGUUCGUGGAGUCCAUCGUUGUUGCAGCUGGUAUAUUAUCUCGCAACAACCGAGAUGAACCAUUCUUCAUCGCUUUAGUGGCCUUAAGCA